rnacentral:misc_RNA from 1 species
UAGACCGAGCAUGCGUCAUCCAUCCUGCCGACGACGGCAUUGUCCGUUGCUCGGCCAAUUCCUCGAACACCUCCUCUCCUCGGAGCGGGGGAUCGGGGUAAAAGAACCCACGGCGCCAAAGGCGUCAAGGAACACUGUGCCUAGCUCGGGGAUGCGGCUGGCUUGCUGGCUGCCCCUGUGCUGCAAUGCUAUUUAAUCCACACGACUCUCGGCAACGGAUAUCUCGGCUCUCGCAUCGAUGAAGAACGUAGCGAAAUGCGAUACCUGGUGUGAAUUGCAGAAUCCCGCGAACCAUCGAGUCUUUGAACGCAAGUUGCGCCCGAGGCCUUUUGGCUGAGGGCACGCCUGCCUGGGCGUCACGCAAAACACGCUCCCACACCCCUCAUUUGGGAAUGGGAUGCGGCAUCUGGCCCCCCGUCACGCAAGGGGCGGUGGGCCGAAGAUAUGGCUGCUGGCGUAUCGUGCCGGACACAGCGCGUGGUGGGCGAACUCGCUUUACUUACCGCAGUGCAUCCGGCAUGUAGCCGGCGUGAUGGCCACAAAAGACCCUUUUGAACGGUGCGUA